rnacentral:rRNA from 1 species
CGUAGGUAACCUGCCUGGUAGCGGGGGAUAACUAUUGGAAACGAUAGCUAAUACCGCAUAAUAGCAGUUAUUGCAUGAUAACUGUUUGAAAGGUGCAAUUGCAUCACUACCAGAUGGACCUGCGUUGUAUUAGCUAGUUGGUGGGGUAACGGCUCACCAAGGCGACGAUACAUAGCCGACCUGAGAGGGUGAUCGGCCACACUAGGACUGAGACACGGCCCAG